rnacentral:rRNA from 1 species
UCUAAGUACAAGCCGCUAGACGGCGAAACCGCGAAUGGCUCAAUAAAUCAGUUAUGGUUCCUUAGAUCCACUCCAUCCUACUUGGAUAACUGUGGUAAUUCUAGAGCUAAUACAUGCACUCGAGCCUCGACUGCGCCACGCUUCGCGGCGUGGUGCAGAAGAGGUGCUUUUAUUAGAUCAAAACCAGUCGGGACGCGCGGCUCGGGCAACCGUUUCGCGCGGACCGUACCAAUUUUGGUGACUCUGGAUAACUUCACGCCGAUCGCAUGGCCUUUGUGCCGGCGACGUAUCUUUCAAAUGUCUGCCUUAUCAACUGUCGAUGGUAGGUUACGCGCCUACCAUGGUUGCAACGGGUAACGGGGAAUCGGGGUUCGAUUCCGGAGAGGGAGCCUGAGAAACGGCUACCACAUCCAAGGAAGGCAGCAGGCGCGCAAAUUACCCACUCCCGGCACGGGGAGGUAGUGACGAAAAAUAACGAUACGGGACUCUUCCGAGGCCCCGUGAUUGGAAUGAGUACACUUUAAAUCCUUUAACGAGGAACCAUUGGAGGGCAAGUCUGGUGCCAGCAGCCGCGGUAACUCCAGCUCCAAUAGCGUAUAUUAAAGUUGUUGCGGUUAAAAAGCUCGUAGUCGGAUGUCUGUCUUCGGCCGGGCGGCGCCGCUCUGAAUCAAGGGUGUUGCGUUUCACGCUCUGGGAGCCCGGGUGUCAAAGCCCGACUCUCUUUACGGUCGGACAACAUCGCCAGAGUGGUGGUCGGUGGGUCGCGUUGUAUCGGCUCGCGGAUUUCCGUUUCGUCCGUCUCUCCCUUUUUUUUUUCCCUUUCGAUCGUCCCGUGUUUCACUUUCGCGGUGAGGCUCGGGUGAUGUGGCAGGGAGAAGGGGGGAGAAUCAGGCGGACGGAGCGGUCCGUGAUCAGUUGACGCGAUUCGCUCCACCCAGUCAAUCGUUCGGGGUGCCCUUUACCGGGUGUCUCGGGCGGCCGGCAACGUUUACUUUGAACAAAUUAGAGUGCUCAAAGCAGGUGUAUCCCAACGCCUGAAUAUCGCAGCAUGGAAUGAUGGAAUAGGACCUCGGUCCGAUUUUGCUGGUCUUUUACUUUUGGACCCGAGGUAAUGGUCAAUAGAGACGGACGGGGGCAUUCGUACUGCGGCGACAGAGGUGAAAUUCUUGGACCGCCGCAAGACGAACAACAGCGAAGGCAUUUGCCAAGAAUGUUUUCCUUGAUCAAGAACGAAAGUUAGAGGUUCGAAGGCGAUCAGAUACCGCCCUAGUUCUAACCAUAAACGAUGCCAACCAGCAAUCCGUCGGAGUUACUCCAAUGACUCGACGGGCAGCUUCCGGGAAACCAAAGUCUUUGGGUUCCGGGGGAAGUAUGGUUGCAAAGCUGAAACUUAAAGGAAUUGACGGAAGGGCACCACCAGGAGUGGAGCCUGCGGCUUAAUUUGACUCAACACGGGAAACCUCACCAGGCCCGGACACUGGAAGGAUUGACAGAUUGAGAGCUCUUUCUUGAUUCGGUGGGUGGUGGUGCAUGGCCGUUCUUAGUUGGUGGAGCGAUUUGUCUGGUUAAUUCCGAUAACGAACGAGACUCUAGCCUGCUAAAUAGGUGACGGGUUUUAUCAAUUGAAACCGAAGGGGGUACGGAGGCGUCGGGAUCAGGUGGCGGCGAUUCGGGUCGAAGAGGCCGGGUUCUUUUAGCUGGCUUUUUUUUCCCCUCUUUGCUUUUUAUUCGUCGCGUGUCGGUGGCCCUUUUUUCUUCGUUUUUUCUUCGGUUCGCGCUGGAGGAGGGAUGAGAAGGAGGUCUGCUGGUGUGCGGCGAGAGAUGUGGAGAGAAGGAAGAAAGGUUUGGCGGGGGCUCGGUCUUUUGUUUCUCGGUCGUCGUCAUCCCCGGCGAUACCUUCUGCUCUCGCGUCCGUCACGCAGUCUUCUUAGAGGGACAAGCGGCGUCCAGCCGCGUGACAAUGAGCAAUAACAGGUCUGUGAUGCCCUUAGAUGUCCUGGGCCGCACGCGCGCUACACUGAAGGAAUCAGCGUGUUUCACUCUCCCUGUCCGAAAGGACCGGGUAACCGCUGAACCUCCUUCGUGGUUGGGAUUGGGGACUGCAAUGAUCCCCAUGAACCAGGAAUCCCUAGUAGGCGCGGGUCACUAGCCCGCGUCGAUUACGUCCCUGCCCUUUGUACACACCGCCCGUCGCUACUACCGAUUGAAUGAUUUAGUGAGGCCUUCGGACGGGCUUGUCGGGGUUCCAUCGCGUGGGGAGCAAUCUCUGCGCGAUCGGUUCCUACCAACGGCGAGA